CGGAAUGCAGCGCAGCCUGGUAGCGCACCUCGUUCGGGACGAGGGGGUCGGAGGUUCGAAUCCUCUCAUUCCGACCA
rnacentral:tRNA from 1 species